rnacentral:rRNA from 1 species
UGAGUAACCUGCCCUUAACUCUGGGAUAAGCCUGGGAAACUGGGUCUAAUACCGGAUAUGACCUCUCAUCGCAUGGUGAGGGGUGGAAAGUUUUUCGGCUGGGGAUGGGCCCGCGGCCUAUCAGCUUGUUGGUGGGGUGAUGGCCUACCAAGGCGACGACGGGUAGCCGGCCUGAGAGGGCGACCGGCCACACUGGGACUGAGACACGGCCCAGACUCCUACGGGAGGCAG